rnacentral:rRNA from 1 species
ACUCAAAUGAAUAGACGGGGACCCGCACAAGCAGCGGAGCAUGUUGUUUAAUUCGAAGCAACGCGAAAAACCUUACCAAGACUUGACAUCCUAUGCCGUACUUAGAGAUAAGUACUUUCUUCGGAACAUAGAGACAGGUGGUGCAUGGUUGUCGUCAGCUCGUGUCGUGAGAUGUUAGGUUAAGUCCUGCAACGAGCGCAACCCUUAUCACUAGUUGCCAAUAUUAAGUUAGGAACUCUGGUGAGACUGCCGUAGAUAAUACGGAGGAAGGUGGGGAUGACGUCAAAUCAUCAUGCCCCUUACGUCUUGGGCUACAAACGUGCUACAAUGGCUAUUACAAAGAGCAGCAAAACCGUAAGGUCGAGCAAAUCUCAAAAAGAUAGUCUCAGUUCGGAUUGAGGGCUGAAACCCGCCCUCAUGAAGUCGGAGUUGCUAGUAAUCCCGAAUCAGCAUGUCGGGGUGAAUGCGUUCCCGGGUCUUGCACACACCGCCCGU